GGAAAGAGAAGAAGAAUAUGAAAAAUCUUUUUUGGAAGAAAGCAAUAAAGAUACAGAAGAACCAGAUGAAGAAAGUGGAUUAGCUUCUAAGAAAACAAUAGAAACAAUAAAAUCUGCAGAACAAAUUAUAGAAGCUCUUGACAUAUAUACUGAAGAAACAUCCAAGUAUGAAUUAUAUAAAAAAGAAUGUGAAAUUUCUAGAAAAGAGGUAUUUAUUAUUU